AACGGACGCAUGGAACGCUCUUCCGUUCGCAUCCGUUACCAUAGACUACAACAUAUACUUUGGACGUUUGAGUUCCGUUUUGGUCCGGGAAAGACGCAAUUCGCCCCGCCCCCUAUCUAUUUCCAUGUGAUCCCCAGUGUGGGCGGAGCAUCUGAAGCAGUGACGUAACACGGCGCGACCAAGGCAGAGAGCGAGGUCCACGUGCACCAGGAGGGAAGAAGACGCAUGCGGCCGCCCGGUCACCCGCAUACCGGAGGCGUCCUGUGGACGGGCGGGCACGGUGCUGGGGGGGAUGUGUGCACCGGGGGAGCACGAGAGGCAUCGCUACAGCCGCUUCCACCCUGUUCAGAUGCGCGGCAGGGAGGCGGCUUUUGCAUCUGUUGAUGGCGGAUAACUCCCGGAGACUAGGGCACAGCGAUCUGCAAGACAAGGUGCGGUACCGCAGUGCACGGCCCGGAGAUGGAGCUGAUCGUCAAUAACAGAAGUGCGAGGAGACGUCUCUUCUGAUGAACUGCAGCAAAAGUGAGGACUGGAAUCUUCCAAUAAACAGGGGCAAAGGACACGAACAGUGAGAGAAUGCUACGAUCUGCUGUGAUUAUUGGAAAUCCGACCUCUGGCCCCUCAACCAAACUGAAGACUGAAGGAGGCGCAGGGUUGAUCUUUACAACAUCUGAAUUUUUGCAGCACCUCAGAGCAACAGAAAUACAAGGAGACGUCUCUGAUCAGCUGUAACUAAAGUGAGGACUGGAAUCUUCCAAUAAACAGGGGACUUGUGAGCCAGUUUAGAAUUUCUGCCAAGUGCUGCGAAAAAGGUUCUGUCUGGAUCUUUUUGCUACAUCAAAGCAACAGAAAUACAAGGAGACGUCUCUUCUGAUCAAUUGUAACAGAAGUGCGAGGAGACGUCUCUUCUGAUGAACUGCAGCAAAAGUGAGGACCGGAAUCUUCCAAUAAACAGGGAGAAGGACAUUGUAUCGGUGAGAAGAUCAUUACAGGAUCCUGACAAGCUUGAAGAGUAAACUGAACACUUAAUAAAAUCCUCAAGUAGCGAUCUGAAUUUUGUCUGUCAUUUCUAAA